AGAGUUUGAUCCUGGCUCAGAACGAACAUUGGCGGGAUGUCUUAAGCAUGCAAGUCGGGCGGCAGCACUACGGGUGGCGAGCGGCGAACUGGUGAGUAACGCGUAGAUUAUCUGCCUUUAGGACUGGGAUAGCCCUGGGAAACCAGGAUUAAUACCGGAUAUGAGUAUACUUGAAAGCGGCGUUCGCCGCACCUAGAGAUGAGUCUGCGUCCCAUUAGCUAGUUGGUAGGGUAAAUGCCUACCAAGGCGACGAUGGGUAGCCGGCCUGAGAGGGUGAUCGGCCACAUCGGGACUGAGAUACGGCCCGGACUCCUACGGGAGGCAGCAGCUAAGAAUAUUCCGCAAUGGACGAAAGUCUGACGGAGCAAUCCCGCGUGAGGGAAGAAGGCCUUCGGGUUGUAAACCUCUUUCGGCAGGGAAGAAUAAGCAAGUAGGAAAUGACUUGUGAUGACGGUACCUGAAGAAGAAGCACCGACUAACUACGUGCCAGCAGUCGCGGUAAUACGUAGGGUGCAAACGUUGUUCGGAAUCACUGGGCGUAAAGGGUACGCAGGCGGUCAUGUAAGUAAGGGGUGAAAAUCCGGGGCUUAACUCCGGACCUGCCUUUUAAACUGCAUGGCUAGAGUAUAAUAGGGGUGGUAGGAAUUCCUGGUGUAGGAGUGAAAUCUGUAGAUAUCAGGAGGAACACCAAUAGCGUAGCAAGCCACUGGGUAAUGACUGACGCUCAUGUACGAAAGCCAGGGGAGCAAAUGGGAUUAGAGACCCCAGUAGUCCUGGCCGUAAACGUUGCACACUAGUUAUCUGGGUUUUUAAAUCUAGAGAACACAGCAAACGCGUCAAGUGUGCCGCCUGGGGAGUAUGCGCGCAAGCGUGAAACUCAAAGGAAUUGACGGGGGCUCGCACAAGCGGUGGAGCAUGUGGUUUAAUUCGAUGAUAAGUGAAGAACCUUACCUGGGCUUGAACGUGUACUGCAAUCCUGUGAAAGCAGGAGUUUCUUCGGAACGGUAUGCGAGGUGCUGCAUGGCUGUCGUCAGCUCGUGUUGUGAAAUGUUGGGUUAAGUCCCGCAACGAGCGCAACCCCUAUCCAAUGUUGCUAAUCACUUCGGUGAAGGACUCUUUGGAGACUGCCCGGGUUAACCGGGAGGAAGGUGGGGAUGACGUCAAGUCCUCAUGGCCCUUAUGUCCAGGGCUACACACGUGCUACAAUGGGGUGCACAAAGAGCAGCAAGACUGCAAAGUUAAGCGAAUCUCAAAAAACACUCCUCAGUUCAGAUUGUAGUCUGCAACUCGACUACAUGAAGCUGGAAUCGCUAGUAAUCGCGGAUCAGCACGCCGCGGUGAAUACGUUCUCGAGCCUUGUACACACCGCCCGUCACACCACCCGAGUAGAUUUUACCUGAAGUAGCUGCAAUACGGCAGUUCCGAGGGUAGAGUUUGUGAGGAGGGUGAAGUCGUAACAAGGUAACC
rnacentral:rRNA from 1 species